CUGCCAACGAGCUGAUCUGGGAGGACUGUGCUGCCAGUGGGGACUUCCCAGGUGUUUGAUGACAGUAACCUGGAUAACAAGCUGCGGGUGAACAGAGUGUGGAAGCAACUACGGUUCAGGUUAAG
rnacentral:lncRNA from 1 species